rfam:Salmo salar isolate Sally breed double haploid chromosome ssa19, whole genome shotgun sequence.
UGGCUCGGUUGGUAGAGCAUGGUGUUUGCAAUGCCAGGGUUGUGGGUUCGAUUCCCAC